CAGCCAGCCAGCCAGGUUUGUGAUCUCUGCUGCCUGCAAAAUACAAAACCUCGGCAGUCAUGAAGCGGAAUUAUGAAUCAGGAAGCCAUAAAAGAAAGAAGAGAAAGGAAGAGGAGGAUAAGAAAAAACAAGAUAGUGGAUUUGAGGACUCCCAAAACUGGGUCGGGGGCUGAAAGUGGAGAGGUGACUGUGGCGACGUGGCAGUAUUUUGACUUGAUGCACGAGGUUCUUGGUGCCCGGCCAGCAAUUGACCCACCAGUCCUUGUGUCAUCUAUUCAAGACCCCAUGGUUAUCCUCAUGGAGAUGGUGGAGCCCUACACCCAAGCACCCCCGACAGCAGCCAGCACCCCACUACACCCUACCACAUCCAUCAUACCACCACGAAGGAGGUCCAAAACAGUGGCAGAACUCCUGGCUGAGGAGGCCCUUCAGGAGCAGAGGCGCCAUGAAGACAGUGAGGCCAAGACGGAUCGCUUUCUGGAUCUCUUUGAGAGGAUGAUAAACAAAUUAUAAUUAUUGAUUACUGUUGUUCCUAUGUUUUUUAUUCUUGCUA